rnacentral:lncRNA from 1 species
AUGUUCAGCGCUUAUCUCAAGGCUCUUUGUCUGUCUCUGGGUGUACGGCGCUUCUGCAUUUUUUCUGGAAAACUGGAAACUGAAAUUGCUAAAAUGUACCUGGUCAGUUGGUCUCUCAACGCGAUUGACACAUUUUCUUCAACGAUGAGAACGGGAGAAGGGGUUCCCGGGUGCCCCUCUGGGACAGAACCAGUUGGGCAUAUCAUGGACUCCUGGAAACAGUGGAACCUGAUUUGCUUAUCUCAACUGUCUGUAGAGGAUUCUGAAGACGUCAGGAUAUUUGUGGUGUUGGUGUCAGGUUUCCUGCUUUUUGGCCUGGGAGGUUACCGGGCUUACCGGAAAAUUAACGAGCUGUCAAGGAAUAUUGGCUCUUUCCCGGAGCUCAGGGAUGGAUUAUACUGCGCUGUGAAUGCACAGACUCAUAUAAUUGUUGAGAUGAGUCAUAAGCUUGGAACUUUGGCUGAGAUUCAUGCAUUGGCACAAAAGAUGGAUGAGAUCAAGGAGCGAGUGGACGAAUCAGCAUGGAUUGAGGUAGAUUAAUUUACGCCAUAUUUGAAUUCAUAGGGGUUGAGGAUCAAUGGAACUUUAAGACAAAGAGGAAAUUAUCUCUGUCUGGCCCCAAAACAAUUUCUUAUCUGAAUCUGGUGCCCUUGAGCCUGUGAGGCUGAAACGAAUACCCCCCUCAGAAGAAAUGUGGAAUGCUGCCGUCACCAUGACAACUCUGUCUCCCUAUCCCAGUCUGGGAGGCACUGCGAGCUGUGAAGGCAGCUAAAUCGUUCCAGGAGUCACUGUGCCCUCUAAACCCAACGACCUCCCGCCCCUCUCCAGACUGAGAUGACGAGCGCUGCUUAUCGCGGCUGCAUUCACUGACGUGUGGAGAGUCCCAAACCCUACCACCCCACCUAGUGGACACUUAUGUUGUAUUAUGUCUGAAGUCUGUUGCAUUUCUGUCUGAGGUGUUUUUUGCAUAGCAAAGCUGCCCUCCCUGUGGAGGGUAACUCUGAAGGGCCUUUUUUUCCCUCCACCUGACCCCAUCCUCAUGUAAACCCCUCUGAUCUCUAUUAAGGUAGCGCGACUCGGGUUGCGAAUGACCACAGUCACCAAUUAUUGUCAUGUGUCUUUGUCUUUGCCUAUGUAUGUCUGAUCUCAGAAUUGUGUGUACUGAAACUCUAAUUUCCCUCUGGGAUUAAUAAAGUAUUUUUGAAUUUAAUUUAAUUUAAUUUAAUUUAAUUGAAAGACACCUGGUGUGGUCUUCUGCUGAUGGAGUUCAUCUGGAGCAGAUGGUUUAGUUCCGCAGGACCUGGAACAGGUGAUGAUGUGUGACUUCAAGUCCCUGUAGACUUUAGUGAUAGUUGCUGGCCCAAAUCCCAGAAAGUCAGCAGGUUCAGAAAUAACUGCAGGCAAGGUGGGUCAAGUGUCUUGCCCUGAGCUACUGAUGCCCCAUAAAUGUGAUUAUUUUCACCAAAUUAAUCUACUUCUUUGGUCUGAAAAAGGUUAAAGAGCAAAUUACAGGUUAAAUUUCAUAUAAAAUGCUGACGUAAUAAGGGGGAGUUAUACGCUAAUCCUGCCUGAAGCUCAGGGUGGAGAGUAGGUCGUUUUCUGGUAGAGAGGUCAUGUUAUCUAGUCAGUGUGUGUUCACUAGUUUUAGAUUGCGUUCUUUUUUCUUAAAAAUUAUAAACUAAUGUGUGGAGGAUCUACAAACUUCAGCAGGUCCAGACAUCGAGUCCACGGGUUAGAUAAGAGAAAGAACGGCAUUUUCUGGUCCUGGUGUGUCCAGAUCGGAGGAUUACAGAGUCAGUGAUGUGAUGGAGUUCAGCAUGUCUUCUAUCCUCCAGACACUUGUGGUGGAGUUUAGAACAAUAAUUGCUAGCUCCUAGAGUCCAGAUCAGGGACGUUAGCACUAAGCUCCAGAAGAGGAUGCAGAGCUAAUAAAAAAUUCCUAGCGAACUGGGGAAGCUGGUUUCUGGGUCCGACCCAGGCCCGGGCCACUGGCCCAGGUGAUGACAGGCGUCUCUCUCUCUCUAAAGCGCUAAACUACAUUACGUGAAUGGAUAUUGACAGGCAUGUAACCUGUUAAACAUUGUGAUGUUAGAGCAUGAGUAUAAGCUAGCUAGCUAGGAAUCUUGGUCAUUGUUUCUCCCUCUGGUUUGUCUCAGCUCUCUGGGGCGUGCAGCAGACUCAUAACUGUAUGGCUGUGGUCCACCAUGAGUAUAGUUAUAAACAUGUACAUUUCCUAAGUGUCAGAACCGGCAUUAAUAUCCAUAUUUUAUGUGGAUCAAGCUAACAGGACCCCCUCUGCCUGGUUUGGCAGAAAAAAAAACAUUUUUCUCACAAAAAUGACUCCAAAAGCAUAACAAUUAAUUUAUGUGUACAUUUUUAUUUAGUACAAGUUCCUGUUAUGUUUGUUAUGUAAUAUUUUUUCAAAGGAGGCUGUAACCUGCAACAUGCUCUUUAAAUCCAUGCAGAAGUAAUAUCUGUUCCUCUAUUCAUUUGCUAAAAGAAUCAAGUUAAAUUAUUCGUGUUCCUGUUUUGUUUUAAAACUGCUGCAGGCUGCUCCUUUAGCUGGGAUGGAACCAGGAGAGAGAGGAAAAGUGGAAAAGAGCAAAAAGAUAAAGUCAGUGACCCGACAUGUUACAGUGACUAUCCUGUACGUCUCUCUCUAAAAGAAACACACACACACACACACACACACAUACACACACACGCGCGCACACACGCACACACACACACACACACACACACACACACUGGAGCAUCGUGCAUGUUAAUCUGAACUGAUUGCAUGUCCACUUACAUAAAUUAUGAACCUUGGUGGAUGCAUUAUUUACUCAAUAGAAUUAAAAAAGCACACCAGGUUGCUGAAUGACAUCACACACACACACACACACACACACACACACACACACACACACACACACACACACACACAGGAAUGCAGCAUUUAUCCUGUAGACUCAUGUCUGUUCCUCUCGUCUUUCACUUGGUUUUCCUUCCAUCCAGCAUUCCUUUGUCCCAGUUGCCUCCAGCCUUCUCCUCUCUUUCUAUUUCUAUUUUCACUUCUUGUUUUGUAAAGUAUUUCAUUUCUUUGUGUUUUAGACUUUUGUUUGUUGUUUCUAACAAACCAUGCUCACCAUUUUUGGGUUUUGUGUGAGUUUGUAUAUCUGAGCAUUGGACAUCGCUCCCAAUAAAACAUAUUUCACAACAAAGCCACUGGGUUUGCAACUUUAGGUGAGUUUUUGACAUUAACUAGAUGAAAACGUCCAUGUGUGUAAAAUCCUUGUUGACUGAUGAAGGCUUGAGCAUUCUGCUGCGUUUAGGAUCGAAAACACCCAAAACAUCAUCUGGCCACAGAAUGAUUUCCUUAUUACAGCAGAGUCAUUGUCAUCUCUAGUUUUUAACUCCAGAUACAGAAGAAUGUGUGUCUACACUCUGCAGGAGCAAAGGAAAAGCAGAUUGCCGUAAUCUGCCGAACCACAGCCCCACAGUUUGAUCGUGUGGCAGGAGAUGUGUGAUGCUGCUGUUGACUAUGGAGCCUGAUGUUUUAGGUAGAUGCAUGUUCACCUGUAACUUUCUAGUGGUGUACCUGCAUUUCCCCACGAUAAAGGAUCAUUCAAAUACAAUCAGACUAGAGAAUUUAAAGACAUGACCCAUAAAUCACACAGCAUUUCUGGAGAUCACACUAUGUGUACCACACUAUCAGAAGACAAUGUUGCAUCCUUCUCCUUGUAGCUCAUUCCAUCAUAGAAGCACUGAAGUCAGAACAGCCAGACAUCCUGGGUUCUUCUAAAACGGGUGGAUAGCAAAGCCCUGUCUCCCCAACCCAGUGAUGAGGCCUCUGAAACAGUCUGAGAGACUAUUUAACAAAGAGCAGCAGAAGAAGAGUGAAAGAUGACUUCUAACCACACGUUUUCAUUCAGCGCCCUGAAUCCCAGUGACUAUGUGGUCGACUUACCACCUAAAUAUAGAGAAUAAUGCUCAGAAUUGCGGGUUUUAGAGGGCUACCCGGCCUUAUAGCACGGCCGCCGACUCCUGAAUAUGCAUGGUGCCGAGCAGGGAAAGGAAAGCGCCAGGCGAGACACAGAGGAUUUGAUGUUCAAUAAAAGAAAAAGCCUUUGACAUGGAAUACGAGCGGGGCCCAGCCUCAAUAUAAAAGAACCAGGAGGGGAAUUAGAUGGAUGGAGAAUUCCUUCAGAUGUACAGACACAGAAGAGACAAAAAAGAGAGCAGUGAGAAAAGGAAAGCGGAUAUUUGACUGUUUCUGACUGUAGAUGUGUGCAUGAGCGAGUGACAGAAACAUACUUUUAUAUUUAGACAUUCCUCUCUGCGCCCUCUCUGAGUAUGGAGAAUACAAACCUAUGAUACAUCAUAAGUAAGUCAUUGAAAAGUCUCGCUGCUCUGCUCUCCAACUCUUAAAAGACUCCCUCCGCUCACUCAAGUCUCAGCAACUUUCUGCCAGCUCGUAAAGAUUACCUUUAGAAUCCACCAGUUACUUAAACAGCUCCUGAAAUUAGACCGGGCCUGCGGGUCAACCUCAUUACACUUCCCAUUAGCAAUCAUACAUUAACUCUGCACAACCAAGUAGUUGUUCAAGGCCUACUGAGUGAGAGUAGGUGAUCUUCACAAGGAGGAACGGUAACUAAAUGUCCUCAUUCUCAUGUUCCUCCUGUAAAAGGAAAAGUCUGCUUUUAAAGGAUGAUCCAUUUAUUCCUGCUUCAUCUAGGAAGCAGGUCUGAAGGAUGGUGACAUUGUUGAAAAGGUUUUGUCUCGGUUGAUUUAAUUCUUGUUUAGGUCAAUACCUGUCAUCCAACCAGCGCAACAGCUGAGGAAUGUUUCCGUUGUAUUGACAACUACGCCCCCUACGGAGGUAUGCCCUCCUGAUCUGAAUUCGAGCGGUGUUUUGUUAUUGAACUUCUGUACUCAUCAUGGAUUGUCCAUAACGAACACUAUGUUCAGACAUAAAGGUGUCCAUAUGUCUUACAGCUCUGGGGCUGGUGCCUAUCUCCAGCGGUCAAUGGGCAAUCAGGUGGGGUACACCCUGGACAGAGAGCCAGUCCAUCGCAGGGCAACAGAGACACACAGGAUAAACAAUCACACACACACACACACACACACACACACACACCUAAGGACAAUUUAGACAGACCAA